rnacentral:rRNA from 1 species
GACGAACGCUGGCGGCGUGCUUAACACAUGCAAGUCGAACGGAAAGGCCCUGCUUUUGUGGGGUGCUCGAGUGGCGAACGGGUGAGUAACACGUGAGUAACCUGCCCUUGACUUUGGGAUAACUUCAGGAAACUGGGGCUAAUACCGGAUAGGAGCUCCUGCUGCAUGGUGGGGGUUGGAAAGUUUCGGCGGUUGGGGAUGGACUCGCGGCUUAUCAGCUUGUUGGUGGGGUAGUGGCUUACCAAGGCUUUGACGGGUAGCCGGCCUGAGAGGGUGACCGGCCACAUUGGGACUGAGAUACGGCCCAGACUCCUACGGGAGGCAGCAGUGGGGAAUAUUGCACGAUGGGCGGAAGCCUGAUGCAGCAACGCCGCGUGCGGGAUGACGGCCUUCGGGUUGUAAACCGCUUUCGCCUGUGACGAAGCGUGAGUGACGGUAAUGGGUGAAGAAGCACCGGCUAACUACGUG